rnacentral:rRNA from 1 species
CCUACGGGAGGCAGCAGUGGGGAAUAUUGCACAAUGGGCGAAAGCCUGAUGCAGCAACGCCGCGUGAAUGAUGAAGGCCUUCGGGUCGUAAAGUUCUUUGAUCAGGGAUGAUAAUGACAGUACCUGAAAAACAAGCCACGGCUAACUACGUGCCAGCAGCCGCGGUAAU